AGCCCAAAACAGUGUAAGUGAUUGCAGCCCCCAGGAAUGUGUCGGGAUCAAGCUAGUUAGCACUCAGCUUACAGCAACUUGUCAAGAUUACUACUAAACGAAGUGUUUAUACAACUUGUGGCUUCCCCUCCAGGUAAACAAAUUUCUAGUGCUGUAUUUCUCUGGAUGCACCAAUCUCUCUGAUUUUAGAGGGACAGUUUUCCCUGUGGCCCCAGUUCUUUGAUAGACUCAAGAACUUUUUUCUUGCACUGCCAAGAGCGAUGACUUGUAAGCUCUUUUACAUGUUAGAGCUGAAAUAGAUAAACCCAUGUCUAUCAACUGGGAACGGGAAAAAUUAGAUGUGCUUCAUUUCAAGCCUAGAGACCCACAUAAUUUGCACAAAUAGAAAUAGGUACAUUGAACAAUUAAACAACUUUAUAUGAGAUGAUAAACAAUACUUUAAAACCCAAUAAAUACAUAAUGUAAUACAGAUUUAGUGUACUCUACAUAGAAUGAAAAGUUUAGAGUAAGUGGUGUUCGGUGGAGAAGAGGGCCAGGGCUUGCUCUUUGGAAGGUGCAUUCAUCAUUCUGCACCUCUUUCUUAGUUAACAAUUGGAGUUUAUGUUUUUACCAUGCACUCAAAAACAGCAAUCUAGGAAAAAUAAAGGGUAAGUCUAGAAACAUAUGGAAAAAGUGCACAGACUGAAGAAGCAACUCUUCAUCCUUCUCACUUGGCAUAAAUUCACCAAUAAAAAUGCUGUGGCUCAUUGAACCAUGACCUGCAGUUUAAAUUUGUUUCAUAUGAUAUUCUCUGACUAGAAAGUGUGUCUAGUAAAUUGGUGAAGGACUCUGCUUGAAAAUGUAACAUCUUAGAAAACACCACGUCUCAGAGGGCAUCUACUUAGUGUGUUUUUAGGUGAUGUCAUUAUGCUGAAACAAAAAAAGAGUGGUGUCCAAAAAAUGGUAUACUAAAGGGUAUACUAUUUCAAGAGCUGUUAUGGUCCAACAUCAUUAACUGAGCAGUCCCUAUGUGAGGUAAUUCUGUAACUUGCUGUAGUUUUUAUUUCAUUUAAAGUCUGGAAUCAGCUAACGAGUAACGUGUCAUCCAGACCAAUGUAAAAAUUUCACACGCUUUCAGUUUUCUUCCCCUCGACUCUGCCCCAACGUCCGUGUGGAAAAUGCCUAGAAGAUUAGUUCAUAUUAUUGUUAAGAUUCCUUUCUUUUCAUAACAAAUACUUAUUUAGGCCUAGCAACGAGGAGUUCUCACUUCUGUUAACUGUAUCUUCACACAUACUCCUGCUUCUUUCUGGAUAGACUAUUUUUCCUGAUGUAAUUCAGCCUCUAAAAAGUAGGUAUUUUCAGACACAGCCUAUAAACUCUAGAACUUCUGAGUUCAAGCUCACCCUUACCUGACCAGUAUCUGGGGGCACAGAAUUCUAAAAUCAAAGAAUUUCCAUCUGUACUUUGCAAGCGUUCCACUGCCUUCUUGUUGCCAAUACUGUUGUUGACAAACCUACUGUUGUUACCUGAAUUCCUGAAGCCUGUUCUGAGGCAAAGAUGUGAAUACGUAGAUUUUUCUCUUUACUGACAAUGCCCUGAGGUGUAUACACAAUGCGUCAAUAUAGUUUGGGUGCUGUUGUGUUACUUUAUUUUUUUUAAUUAAUUUUUGGCUGCGUUGGGUCUUCAUUGCUGUGCGGGGGCUUCUCCUGUUGCAGAGCACAGGCUCUAGGCGUGCAGGCUCAGUAGUUGUGGCACACAGGCUUAGUUGCUCCACGGCAUAUGGGAUCUUCCCGGAACAGGGAUCGUGUCCCUUGCAUUCUUGACCACUGCACCACCAGGGAAGCCCUGUUGUGUUACUCUUAUUGCUUUUCAUUCAUUCUCUCUCUAUUCUUUUCUCCAAAACAUAAUACAUAUUAUGUUGGGACUUCUAGCCAUAAAAUGUUCUUUGUAAGUCCUUUAUCAGAUAUAUGUGACUGACUGCAAAUAUUUUCUACCACUCUGUGGCCUGUCCCUUCAUUUUUUAGAAGAGCAGAAGUCCUUAACUUGGAUAAAGUUGGUUUCUCCUUUUGGUAAGAAAGCUUUUCUCCUACAGUUUAUUCUAGAAAUUUUAUAGUUUUAGGUAUUAUAUUUAGAUCCAGAGUUUGAGUUAAUUUUUUGUAAAUAUUGCAAGACAUGAAUUUGUUAUCUUUCAUUUUUUUGAAUAUCAAUAUCAACUUUUUUCAGCAUUUGUUGAAACAGCUAUUUAUUCUCCAUCAAGUAAUUUUUCCUUCUUUCAGCAUUUGUUGAAACAGCUAUUUAUUCUCCAUCAAGUAAUUUUUCCUUCUUUGUUGAAAGUCAACUAACCAUAUCUAUUUCUAGUUUCUCUAUUCUAGUCUAUUAUUCAUUUAUCUUGACUCUAACAUCACAGUUUUUGAUUACUGUAGCUUUAGAACAACUCUUGAAGUCAGCUAGUAUAAUCCCUCCAACUUUUCAAACAAAGUCUUCUAAAGUUGUUUGUUUUAGCAUUUCUAGGUCCUUUACGUUUCCAUAAGAAUUUUAGCAACAGCUUUUCAAUAUCUACCAAAAAGCCUUUUGGAAGUUUGCUUGGAAUUGCACUACACUGACAGUACACUAUGGCAACAACUGAUAAUAUACCUCACCACUUACUUAUGUCUUUUUCACUUAGUAGGAAGAAAAAUUCCUCAACCUGAUGAAAAACCUACAGCUGACAUCAUCCAUAAGGCUAAAUGCUUUAUGUCCAUGAUAGGAAAGAAACAAGGAUGUCUGCUCUCACCAGCUCAAUAUUUAAUUUUGUGUGGGAGAUCUUAACUAGUGCAAUAAGAAUCCCAUUUCUCAUUUCCUUAAGGUCCAAUCCUCACAAGCCAGGACUAUUCAAGCACAUCCCAAACCCAUAUAGUCAUUCGAACUGUGACCCAGUGAAACGGAGCUAUUGGUUUCCCUACAAGUUUUCCUUCUGUAGAUCUUUGUGAAAGCUUGAACAUCAAGCUUUGUCAAAUGACUCUGAUUCUUCACCAUAUCUGUAUCUUGUUCAGUGGAGGACAUGCAGUCCUGGAGCUGAUUCUAGAAUCCAUUUCAAAAAUAAGGGAAGAGAGAGAGAAAGUGACUCCAAGCAAAAUGUCCCUGACAUUUCUUCAUUCCAAGAGGGUGUUUUUACCAUAAGAAGGAAUCAUAGAUUACUGGAGUUGGAAAAAGCCAUGGAUAAGAUCCUUGUACUGGAUGUAGGGAUCAAGCCCCAUAGAGAUUAAAUGACUUGCCCAAGGUCACAGUUUGUUAGUCUCUUAGAAGAAAUAAUACAUUUUUCUAAAAUAGGAUGCUUCUCACAUUUUAGUCUUUUACUCUCCUUAGCAAAUUUAACCUUUUCCAUGCAGCUGUUGAGAUAACCUACUGGUUGUAUAAGCUACAUCAACACAAGGGACGUAUCUCAGAAAAUGCCCCCAGACUGCCUCCCUUUUCAUUAUUGAAAACCACGAGAUGAAACUCUUUAAUAACCCACUGCACAAGAGGACCAUUACUGUCAGCAUAUACCACUCAGCCAUAUAUUAUAGCUUUUUACUUCUCCACACAAAAUUGCCUUGAAAUUUACAUUUGCUAUAAAGGAUUCAAGUCCAUCACCGUUAAUUUCCCUCUACAAAUUAUGUUUAAUUAUCACCUCUUUCCACCUAUAAAGAAGCCCCUCUUGUACUUCUGUCUCCAUAUAGCUCUCAAGAAGAGUUUCCUCAGCAUGAAUCUUUGAUGGUGCUUUUAUAUCCCUUACAUGCCCUUCCUUGUCAAGCUCACACAGCCCACUUAGAGAUAUGGAAAUGAACCGCUUGCCUGGCGCCUCAUUUCCUUCAUACAUAUGAAAUCUGGUCUCCCUAAGCAGGAGAAAAAGAGGAACAUUUUCCAGCUUUCGCCUGUGGACAGUUAGGCUAGAAACACCCCAUUCUAGGAUUCAGAGAAGCUUUGAAAGGCUAUCCAUGAUUGAUUGCUUAACAGGUCAUAUACUACAUGUAAUCUUUCUGAUGCUUCAAGCAUCAUCUUUAUUCUCUCCCUCAGUUGUGGAGCCCUAGAAGAAAUCAGUUUAAGGGAAAUAUUGAGAAAUCCCAAAAUUAUAUUUUACUCUUUUUUUCAUUUAAUUUCUAUGCUUCCGUAGUACCAUAUAAAGAGCAUGGUCUUCAGAGUCAAAAAUGUUAGCAGUCAAAUCAUAACUCUACCAAAAAUUUACGUAACUUCAAGCAAAUCGCUUAUCUCUGAGUCCCUGUUCUCUCAACCUUAAACAUAAAGCUAUUUUAAGUUUAACUAAGAUUAGCAUGUAUUAUGCUUGGCACAUUCAAGGAAUUCAAAUGUUAAUUAUCCCCUUCCAGAUUCAAUGAAGCAGUAUUUUUGUCUAUAAUCUACUGUCUGCAGCUGAUGGAAACUCAACUCAAACUAGCUGAAGCUAAAAUGGAAUUCACUGACUCACAUAACCAGGAAGUCCUGGCAUGUCUCUGGCUCUGGACAUAGCUGGAUUAAACUUCCCAAACAAUGUCGCCAUGGCUCUGGACUCUGUUUAUCUCUGCUUGGAGUUGCUCUGAACAUAAGCAAUGACCAAAUGACUGGCAAAAUAGCUAGUAUAAGUUAAAGAUCUUCAGCCCCCUCUCUUAGUAGACCCUCAGUGAAGAAAACUGUCUCCUACUAUUUACAUAUCAAGUUCAGGGAAGAUUCUAACUGGACUUGCUUGAAUCAUGUGCCUGCCUCCCAGUCACUGUGACCAUUGGGAAGGCACUACUCAGUUUGGCCACCCUGGCUAAGGACCUACCAUUGUGGUAGAGAACAAAGUGCCAUGAUUUAUAGUCGUAGGAUUAAAUGGAGUGAGGGAUCCUCAAGAAACCAGAAGGACAAUUAAAAUAAUACUGGGAGAAAAAAUUUAAAUAAAUGACAACUAUAGCUUCCAGUGUGCAUUUUUGUCAAUCAAUAAAGAAGUUCUUGGUUUCUUUAUUCAUAACCAGAUUUUCUUUUGCACUCGAGAUUGUCUUGUAUGGGGACCUGUAGUCUAUGUAGGGAUUAGCAAACUACAACCCAGAGACCAAAUGUGGCCCACUGCUUGAUCUGUAAAUAAAGUUUUAUUGAAACACAGCCACACUCUUUCCUUAAUGUAUUGUCCAUGGUUGUUUUGACACUACAUUAUCAGGGUGCAGUAGUUGAAACAGAGUUCAUAGAGACUGCAAGGCCUGAAAU